GGGCGCGUAGCUCAGUUGGUUAGAGCGCCACGUUGACAUCGUGGAGGUCAGAGGUUCGAGUCCUCUCGCGCCCACCU
rnacentral:tRNA from 1 species